rnacentral:lncRNA from 1 species
UAAGUUUUCUCCCCCAGUUCCCCCCACCCACCCAGGGCAAUCCUGGAUUGUCACACCAUAUUUUUAAUACCAAUUAACGCGUUGUACCUCGCAUCUGAAAAGUGCACUGUGUACAAAAAUGAGUAUCAUUACAAUGAAUAUAUUGUGUGUGUUACAUGGUUGGGGGUGCGUGACCCCAUACCUGUAAAACUACCCAUACGAGCCGAAGGCCCAAGGGCAAUAUAUGCAUAUUUCUGAAUAAGGUUUGGCGGUUGUUUGAGCUUGCCGACAUGUGGCCAACGGAGUAAUUGCGCCGCGUGGAGCACAUCUGUAUUUGUGUCCCCUGCAUCUUCUUAGGGGCCACAAGCCGAACGGAGCCAAGGAUUGCAGCCGCGAAUUCAGGCCGAUGCCGCCCGGUUCAGGAAGCACCCUGCUGCCGAC